GCCGCCGCAGCGGGCCCGGAUCGAACUCGUAAAGCGGGGGUCGUCGGUUCGAACCCGACAGGGGGCUCCA
rnacentral:tRNA from 2 species